UUCCUCUCUUUUGGGGAAAUGGAAACAGAACGUCUUGCCCCUUUGACUGUUGGAGUUAGUCUAGCAGCGAGCCUCUCUUCUUGAGCUUUGUUUGGAAGAGUGCUGCACCAGACACACAGGUGCUCACACCUGGAAAGCUGCACCAGACACACAGGUGCUCACACCUGGAAAGGCACACCAGCAACAGGUGUUCACACCUGGGAAGCUGCACCAGACACACGGGUGCUCACACCUGGAAAGG